CCUUUGACUACGAUGACCUGGAUGACUGAGAACCUUCACAGACUCAUCAAGGUUGAAGCAGAAUUUGUCCGUCUUACAUCUGUUGACCUGAAAGGGUCCCUUUUUGCUGUGCUUGACCAAUAUGGAGAGGUUCAUGGAGCUGUACAAAUCCAAGAGCGGCAUAGGAGGGCUAACUAGGCUCAUAAAAUGCUUCAAUGAUGAUAGCCCUACACAAAGGAAGAGGACAGAGGACCUCAUUUUCUCAA